GACUGCUGAUCUGGCUUUGAAUUGAUAACCAACAGUGAUGAUCAAACCUCAAGUCUUUGCAAAUGUAAUCUGGAAACUGGGUAAAAAUUAAACCAAUUAAAUCCAGUCUUUUUAGAUUAAAUCACCAUUGAUGGUAAUUAACCUUUAUUUUGUGAAGAUUAAUUCAUGUAAUUGGUUUCAUUCUAUUUCCCCUCUUUUAAGAUGACAUGGGCUGACUUUCAAUUUCGGUAAAAUAGAGCCCAAACCUGUGCCAUUAAUAUAUCCCAAUAGCCAGAUGGCGCAAAAAUUAGGCCCAAAUAGUUCCCAUACAUGUUGAGUAGGAGCAAGCAGACAAGGAGAAGGACAUAAGCAUGUUGCUUAGCAUGUCGGCAUGUCACAAGAAUCCACGAGCCUCUCUUAAAAUGGAUCGAGUAUCCAAUUAAGAUUAAUUCCAAUGAUCAAUAUGCAUGAGAGGUUGGGCCUACAAUCCGAAGUUUACGCCCGCCUGGGCCCUCAAAGAGGAGUUCACGCGAGACUAGGCCUCAGAUGAGAUCAACC
rnacentral:lncRNA from 1 species